AAAACCAUCCAUAUGUUGUGACCGAGUAAACAGGGAUGCAAAUUUGCUCCCCACCCAUACUUCCCCACCCACCUAGUUGAAUGCACAUGUUAUAUCUUUUUAAUUACUCUAAUUAUAGUUAACAACAUUUAUGUAUAACAAUAUAUUAUAUUAUCUUUUACUUUAAAUCACUCUUUUUUCUUUUUCUUUUUCUAAACAAAAUAACAAAGCCUAACAAAUUUAAGACUCCUCAAGAUCGAUCAACAAAUAUAUAUAACGUCUAAGUGUUUUUUGAAAGAAUAAUUACCAAGUCGACAUAUUUGAAAAUACCCACUUAGAUCAUAGAACAAUCUCACACUUGAAACAAAGUGAUUGAACUACAAGUAGCCAUCUCCUGUAUAUAUAUAGAUUGCUAUUGAAUUAUCGAUUCAAAUAAAUAAGUUCUUGUAUAUACAGACCCUAAAAAAAUGGCACUAGCAUUAAUAUAUGCUAACAAAAAAUUAGGAGUAGUAUUCAGACUCUAAAAAAAUAAAAUUGAAAAACGAUAUAAGGAGAAGGAAGAAACCUAGUGACCUGAGUCGAUAACAACGACACUAGGAGGAGUCAUAAUAAAUUUGUUAAAUUGUUUAUAAAAAGGAAAAAAACAGUAAUUAGAGUAAAUUUAGGAGAUGAUUCAAAAAAAAAAAAAGAAGUAAAUGUAGGAGAUAAUAUAAUUUGUUGUUAUAAAUGAAUAUUGUUAAUUAUGUUUAGUGUGAUUAAAAGAUAGGACAAGUGAUGUUCAACUAGGUGAGUGGAGAUGAAGGUGAGAAAAUAUGGGUGGGGAGCAAAUUUGCAUCCAGUAGACAGAAAGUAGGAAAUACCCUUCUAUGUGGGUGUUUGUUUCCAUCACUGACUUUGACACGACCCACCCCGAAUUUCACCCUGAAACCCAGAGUAAGUCGUGCGGGGACCACCUCCAAGGAAAAUUUACUGAAAAGAUUAAGAAAAUCUCCCUUGCAGAUGGACAACCCUAACUCGAAAAAUUUCAUAUUACACUCUUAAUUUAACACUUCUGAACAUCCCAUAAUAUACAAAAAUUCUAAAGUAUUCAGAGCUACUAAACACAAGCGGAAGCAAGAAAACACGAGUAGGUUGAACAGGUAACCUACUGGCGAAAACUGGCAGAAAUGCGGGUGACUAUGCCUCGUCUCCUACUAGAUCCAACCCGAACUCUGCAGACUGGGCAAUUUAAAACGAAGGGCCCAGGGAAAACAUUUAAUAACGUUAGAGUGAGUGGACA
rnacentral:lncRNA from 1 species